rnacentral:lncRNA from 1 species
GGUCAAUCCAUAUUCAUUCUGGAAGUUGAUGCCUCUAUUAGCUGCAUUGUUGUACAGCCUGCAGGCAACAUGAACUCUGAAAAGAAAAAACAUUAACAAUAUGUACAAGAGAAGUUGUCCAGUGACAAAAGCAAUAUGAGGUAUUGAUGAGGAGCCUGGAAAUAAGAAGGAAUAUCAUAGUACCUCCACAUGUUGGAGCCAGCAAUCGGGGUGAUAUCCAUGUACAGGUGGAUUUCCAAACACUGAAUUUCAUGCCGACUCUUCAUAUGCCUGAAAUAUA